AUACGUAGGUGACAAGCGUUAUCCGGAUUUACUGGGCGUAAAGGGCGUGUAGGCGGUCUUGCAAGUCAGAAGUGAAAUUCCUGAGCUCAACUCGGGCGCUGCUUCUGAAACUGCAGGACUUGAGUGCUGGAGGGGAUAGCGGAAUUCCUAGUGGAGCGGUAAAAUGCGCAGAUAUUAGGAAGAACACCGGUGGCGAAGGCGGCGUUCUGGGCAGUAACUGACGCUGAGGUGCGAUAGUGUGGGGAGCAGACAGGAUGAGUUACCCUGGUGGUCCACGCCGUAAACGAGGAAUACUAGGUGUAGGGGAUAUCGACUCCCUCUGUGCCGCAGUUAACACAAUAAGUAUUCCGCCUGGGCAGUACGGCCGCAAGGUUGAAGCUCAAAGGAAUUGGCGGGG
rnacentral:rRNA from 1 species